GCUAUAAAAAAUCCUGGCGAGUGAAAAUGAAAAGCAGCAGCCCAAGCAACGCCGAGUUAAUUACGAAAUAUGCCAGCCCAAACAUUCCUUGCAGCACUGAAAAAGCAGACUUCAUUUUCCAUUCGAAAACUAAAGGGGUCCUGGGAGCCAAACAAACAGCGUCUAGGAUAAGUAGGUUAGGAAUGAGAAUUGUUGACUGCAAUCCAAAAUAAAGUGAGGGGACACCAUGCCCUGCUAUAAGCAUCAUGACCGCAAGUGUUGAUUCCGAAAUAUGCCAGCCCAAACAUUCCUUAAAGCACUGAAAAAGCAGACUUCAUUUUCCAUUCAAAAACUAAAGGGGUCCUGGGAGCCACAAACAAACAGCAUCUAAAAUAAGUGGCAUGGAAUGAGAAUUGUUGACAGCAAGCCAGAAUAAAGUUAGGGGACACCAUGCCCUGCUAUAAGCAUCAUGACCGCACAAAUGAGUAUGCCAUUUGCAAAAAAGACUUUGUUAAAUUAAUUCAGAAUCGUGCAAACUGAAGAGGAAGUAAAGGAAGCAAACCAGUCAGACAAAAUUCUCACAUCACUCGCCCUCCAGCACUGUCACAGGUUUCCAAAAAAUAUUAUAAAUUAAGGGGACACCAUGCCUGCUAUAAGCAUCAUGAUCGCACAAAUGAGAAGAGUAUGAUACCAAUUUGCCAAAAAGACUUGUUAAAUUAAUUCAGAAUCGCGCAAACUGAAGAGGAAGUAAAGGAACCAAACCAGCAAGACUAAAUUUUCUCACAUAACUCGCUCUCCAGCACUGUCACAGAUUCCAAAAAGAUUAAUUAUAAAAUUAGGGGACACCAUGCCCGGCUAUAAGCAUCAUUCGCACAAAUGAGGAGUGUGUGAUACCAAUUUGCAAAAAAGACUUGUUAAAUUAAUUCAGAAUCGCGCAAACUGAGGAAGUAAAGGAACCAAACCAGCCAGACAAAAUGUUCUCAACAUAACUCGCCCUCCAGCACUGUCACAGGUUCCAAAAAGAAUAAUUAUAAAGUUAGGGGUCACAAUGCCCUGCUAUAAGCAUCAUGAUCGCACAAAUGAGGAGUGUGUGGCACCAUUUUGCAAAAAAGACUUGUUAAAUUAAUUCAGAAUCGCGCAAACUGAGGAAGCAAAGGAACCAAACCAGCUAGACAAAAUGUUCUCAACAUAACUCGCCUCCAGCACUGUCACAGGUUCCAAAAAGAAUAAUUAUAAAGUUAGGGGCCACCAUGCCCUGCUAUAAGCAUCAUGAUCGCACAAAUGAAGAGUGUGUGGCACCAUUUUGCAAACAAGACUUGUUAAAUUAAUUCAGAAUCGCGCAAACUGAGGAAGUAAAGGAACCAAACCAGCCAGACAAAAUGUUCUCAACAUAACUCGCCCUCCAGCACUGUCACAGGUUCCAAAAAGAAUAAUUAUAAAGUUAGGGGUCACCAUGCCCUGCUAUAAGCAUCAUGAUCGCACAAAUGAGAAGUGUGACACCAUCUUGCAAAAAAGACUUGUUAAAUUAAUUCAGAAUCGCGCAAACUGAAGAGGAAGUAAAGGAACCAAACCAGCCAGAAAAAAUGUUCUGAACAUAACUCGCCCUCAAGCACUGUCACAGGUUCCAAAAAGAAUAAUUAUAAAGUUAGGGGUCACCAUGCCCUGCUAUAAGCAUUCAUGAUCGCACAAAUGAGAAGUGCAAUCCCAUUUUGCAAAAAAGACUUGUUAAAUUAAUUCAGAAUCGCGCAAACUGAGGAAGUAAAGGAACCAAACCAGCCAGACAAAAUGUUCUCAACAUAACUCGCCCUCCAGCACACUCACAGGUUCCAAAAAGAAUAAUUAUAAAGUUAGGGGUCACCAUGCCUGCUAUAAGCAUCAUGAUCGCACAAAUGAGGAGUGUUUGGCACCAUCUUGCAAAAACAACUUGUUAAAUUAAUUCAGAAUCGCGCAAACUGCAGAGGAAGUAAAGGAACCAAACCAGCCAGACAAUUUUCUCACAUAACUCGCCCUCCAGCACUGUCACAGGUUCAAAAAAAUUAAUUAUAAAGUUAGGGGUCACCAUGCCCUGCUAUAAGUAUCAUGAUCGCACGAAUGAGAAGAGUGUGACACUAUUUUGCAAAAAAGACUUGUUAAAUUAAUUCAGAAUCGCGUGAAGAAGAAGUACCGGAAUCAAACCAGCCAGACAAAAUUUUCUCACAUAACUCGCCCCCAGCACUGUCAAGUGUUCCCAAAAAAAAUUAUGUAGAAAAUAAUUCUUUGAAUCCUUGUUUCCUCAAACAUUAGCUUAAAGCUUCCAAUAUAGACCCGCACCAAAUACCACAAAUCAGAACUAUAAUAAAUUGCAGAGAGGAUGAAAUCCAACGCAAGGAAAGGAAAUUCAAGGCAGGAUCUUCUACACGUCAAGAUUACAACCAAAUAAACAUAUCCAAACGAUUUCAAUCCUGGAAGUGACAAAAUCAACUGUCUAUCAUGUGAAUUUGAGUAAUUAUCCAAAUUCAAGGUAAAGAUUUAAAGGCUAAUCAAACACGAGAGGCACAGAAGUUGAUCCAAACUCCAAGCAUAUGCAACACGAUCUAAAACUAUUCAAUAUCAGGAGAAGAUUUCAUAAAUCGAGAAACCCUAAUUGCGUAGAGCAAGAGAACAAAACCAUAAUUUACGGAUCGUAUGACAAAACCUAGUUUCCCCUUGUCGCUGAAACCCUGCAUCCACAGAUCGCUGAAACCAUAGCAUCCACAGAUUGCUGAUACCCUAAUUAGCAAAAAGAUCGAAAGAAGUAAACGAAGAAGGAAAUACCAAGAACUUGAAGCCGAAGGAAAUACCACGAAAGAGACUAGAUCAAUGCCUCGCAGGAUGGCUUGCAGGUUAAGAAUUAUAUGAAUGGAUGCCUUUAUUUAUAGAUCGAAGAGCUGGAGUUAAUGGCUGG
rnacentral:lncRNA from 1 species